AAGACUUUAGAUAUGAUCCAGAGUACCACGGGACACGUGAAACCCUGUGGGAAGCAGGAGGGACCACCCUCCAAGGCUAAAUACUACCUAGUGACCGAUAGCGUAUAGUACCGUGAGGGAAAGGUGAAAAGAACCCCGGGAGGGGAGUGAAAUAGAACCUGAAACCCUGCACUUACAAGCUGUGGAAGCACAUUUCUUGUGUGACCGCGUACUUUUUGUAGAACGGGCCAACGAGUUACGUUAAGUAGCAAGGUUAAGCACUUAAGGUGCGGAGCCGUAGCGAAAGCGAGUUUUAACUGAGCGUUCAGUUACUUGACGUAGACCCGAAACCGGGCGACCUACCCAUGAGCAGGAUGAAGCGAAAGUAAAAUUUCGUGGAGGUCCGAACCCACGAGCGUUGAAAAGCUCGGGGAUGACUUGUGGGUAGCGGUGAAAUUCCAAUCGAGCCCGGAGAUAGCUGGUUCUCCCCGAAAUAGCUUUAGGGCUAGCCUCAAGGUGAGAGAUACGGAGGUAGAGCACUGAAUGUCCUAGGGGGUAUUGCACCUACCGAAGACUAUCAAACUCCGAAUGCCGUCAUCUUAUACUUGGGAGUCAGACUGUGGGUGAUAAGAUUCAUAGUCGAAAGGGCAACAGCCCAGAUCGUCAGCUAAGGUCCCUAAAUGUAAGUUAAGUGGUAAAGGAUGUGGGAUUGCACAGACAACCAGGAUGUUGGCUUAGAAGCAGCCACUCAUUCAAAGAGUGCGUAAUAGCUCACUGGUCGAGUGAUCCUGCGCCGAAGAUUUCCGGGGCUAAAACUUACUACCGAAGCUACGGCAUCAGUAAUGAUGGGUAGGGGAGCUUCCCAUACGGGUUGAAGCAUGACCGUAAGGACAUGUGGACAGUAUGGGAGUGAGAAUGUUGGCAUGAGUAGCGAGAUGUGGGUGAGAAUCCCACAGGCCGUAAACCCAAGGUUUCCAGGGGAAGGUUCGUCCGCCCUGGGUUAGUCGGGACCUAAGCUGAGGCCGAAAGGCGUAGGUGAUGGACAACAGGUUGAUAUUCCUGUACUACCGAUAACCGUUUGAGAGAAGGGAUGACACAGUAGGAUAAGCUAAGCACACUGUUGGUUAUGUGUGCCCAAGCAUUGAGGCAGUCAAAGUAGGCAAAUCCGCUUUGAUAAUGCUGGGAUGUGAUGGGGAGCGAAAUUUAGUAGCGAAGUAGCUGAUUUCACACUGUCAAGAAAAGUCUCUAUCGAGGUUAAAGGUACCCGUACCGCAAACCGACACAGGUGGGUGAGGAGAGUAUCCUAAGGCCAGCGAGAGAACUGUUGUUAAGGAACUCGGCAAAAUGACCCCGUAACUUAGGGAUAAGGGGUGCCACCAUCAGGUGGCCGCAGAGAAUAGGCCCAAGCGACUGUUUACCAAAAACAUAGGUUUCUGCUAAGUCGCAAGACGAUGUAUAGGAGCUGACGCCUGCCCGGUGCUGGAA
rnacentral:rRNA from 1 species